GCGGAUGAACUGUGGGUAGCGGAGAAAUUCCAAUCGAACCCGGAGAUAGCUGGUUCUCCCCGAAAUAGUUUUAGGACUAGCCUCAAGUUAGAUACCUGGAGGUAAAGCACUGAAUAGCCUAGCGGCCGAGAGGUUAGCGAAGCUUAUCAAACUCAGAAUGCCAGAGUAUUGAUGCUUGGGAGUCAGACAGUGUCAGAUAAAUGUCAUUGUCAAAAGGGAAACAGCCCAGAUCUACAGCUAAGGUCCCAAAGUCAGGUUAAGUGGAAAACGAUGUGAAGAUACGCAGACAACCAGGAUGUUGGCUCAGAAGCAGCCACUCAUUCAAAGAGUGCGUAAUAGCUCACUGGUCGAGCGUCUUUGCGCGGAGAAUUUAACGGGGCUAAACCUGACACCGAAGCUUAGGCAAUCCAGUAAUGGAUUGGGUAGGGGAGCGUUGUAUACGCGGAGAAACAGUAGCGUAAGCGGCUGUGGAGUGUAUAGAAGUGAGAAUGCCGGAAUGAGUAGCGCGAAUGCAGUGAGAAUCUGCAUGGCCGAAAGCCUCAGGUUUCUGGAGGAAGGUUCGUCCGCUCCAGGUUAGUCGGGAGCUAAGGUGAGGCCGGAAGGCGUAGCCGAUGCACAGACGGUAGAGAUUCCGUCACCACCAAAAGAGUUAAGCACAGGGACACAUUUGAAGUCUCAGAGCCGGGUGUUGGUUCCGGUAGAGAUCGAGGGAAAUUAGUACCGAAGUCUGAGAUGGAAGAUGGCGAGAAAAGCUGUGUGUAUUUCUGAGGUGCCCGUACCGCAAACCGACACAGGUAGGUAGGAAGAAGAUUCUAAGGCCAACGGGAGAAGGGUUGUUAAGGAACUCGGCAAAUUGACCCCGUAACUUCGGGAGAAGGGGUGCUCCAGAGAUGGAGCCGCAGAGAAUCGGCCCAAGCAACUGUUUACCAAAAACACAGGUUUGUGCUAAAUCGAAAGAUGACGUAUACGAGCUGACGCCUGCCCGGUGCUGGAAGGUUAAGAGGAGAUGUGCAAGCAUUGAAUCGAAGCCCCAGUGAACGGCGGCCGUAACUAUAACGGUCCUAAGGUAGCGAAAUUCCUUGUCAGGUAAGUUCUGACCCGCAUGAAAGGCGUAAUGAUUUGGGCACUGUCUCAACAGCCCGCCCGGCGAAAUUGUAGUACCGGUGAAGAUGCCGGUUACCCGCGACAAGACGGAAAGACCCCAUGGAGCUUUACUGUAGCCUAAUAUUGGGUUUCGAUGUUGCAUGCACAGGAUAGAUGGGACACAGGGAAACAGGAGCUUUGGCUUCUGCGGAGUGGCCGUUGGGAUACCAUCCUUGCGAUAUUGGAAUUCUAACCUGCGGCUCUGAAUCGAGUCGGGGGACAUUGUUAGGUGGGCAGUUUGACUGGGGCGGUCGCCUCCUAAAAAGUAACGGAGGCGUUCAAAGGUUCGCUCAGCUUGAACGGAAAUCAAGCAAAAGAGUGCAAACGCAGAAGCGAGCCUAACUGCGAGACUGACGGGUCGAGCAGUAACGAAAGUUGGAGUUAGUGAUCCGGUGGUAUGUGAGUGGAAAUGCCAUCGCUCAACGGAUAAAAGUUACCCUGGGGAUAACAGGCUGAUCUCCCCCAAGAGUCCACAUCGACGGGGAGGUUUGGCACCUCGAUGUCGGCUCAUCGCAUCCUGGGGCUGUAGUAGGUCCCAAGGGUUGGGCUGUUCGCCCAUUAAAGCGGUACGCGAGCUGGGUUCAGAACGUCGUGAGACAGUUCGGUCCCUAUCUGUCGUGGGCGCAGGAUAUUUGAUGGGAGCUGUCCCUAGUACGAGAGGACCGGGACGGACGUACCUCUGGCGCACCAGUUGUUCCGCCAGGAGCAUAGCUGGGCAACUACGUACGGAUCGGAUAAACGCUGAAAGCAUCUAAGCGUGAAGCCGACCCAAAGAUAAGAUAUCCCA
rnacentral:rRNA from 1 species